CGCAUGUGUGUGUGUGUGUGUGUAUAUAUAUCUAUAUAUAUCUAUAUAUAUAUAGAUAUAUAUAGAUAUAUAUACACACACACACACACAUGCGUG